rnacentral:rRNA from 1 species
UACAGAGACUGCAAGCGUUAUUCGGAUUCACUGGGCGUAAAGGGUGCGCAGGUGGUUGUGUGUGUCAGAUGUGAAAUCCCGGAGCUUAACUCCGGAACUGCGUCUGAAACUGCACGACUAGAGCAUUGGAGAGGGUAGUGGAAUUCACGGUGUAGCAGUGAAAUGCGUAGAUAUCGUGAGGAACACCAGAGGCGAAGGCGGCUCACUGGACCAUAACUGACGCUGAUGCACGAAAGCUGGGGGAGCAAACAGG